ACGCGUGGAUAACCUGCCGUAUGCAGGGGGAUAACAGUUGGAAACAGCUGCUAAUACCGCAUAAGCGCACAGUACCGCAUGGUACGGUGUGAAAAGAUUUAUCGGCAUACGAUGGAUCCGCGUCUGAUUAGCCAGUUGGCGGGGUAACGGCCCACCAAAGCGACGAUCGGUAGCCGGCCUGAGAGGGCGGACGGCCACAUUGGGACUGAGACACGGCCCAAACUCCUACGGGAGGCAGCAGUGGGGGAUAUUGGACAAUGGGGGAAACCCUGAUCCAGCGACGCCGCGUGAGUGAAGAAGUAUUUCGGUAUGUAAAGCUCUAUCAGCAGGGAAGAAAGAAAUGACGGUACCUGAGUAAGAAGCCCCGGCUAACUACGUGCCAGCAGCCGCGGUAAUACGUAGGGGGCAAGCGUUAUCCGGAAUUACUGGGUGUAAAGGGAGCGUAGACGGUACUGCAAGUCUGGAGUGAAAGGCGGGGGCCCAACCCCCGGACUGCUCUGGAAACUGUGUAACUGGAGUGCAGGAGAGGCAGGCGGAAUUCCUAGUGUAGCGGGGAAAUGCGUAGAUAUUAGGAGGAACAC
rnacentral:rRNA from 1 species